rnacentral:rRNA from 1 species
UACGUAGGGGGCAAGCGUUGUCCGGAUUUAUUGGGCGUAAAGCGCGCGUAGGCGGCAAGGUAUGUCGUGCGUGAAAUCUCCCGGCUUAACUGGGAGGGGCCGUGCGAAACUGCCUGGCUUGAGGUCGGAAGGGGAAAGUGGAAUUCCGGGGUGUAGUGGUGGAAUACGUAGAUAUCCGGAGGAACACCAGCGGCGAAGGCGGCUUUCUGGUCCGAUUCUGACGCUGAGGCGGCGAAAGCGUGGGGAGCGAGUCCGG